rnacentral:rRNA from 1 species
UACGUAGGGCGCAAGCGUUAUCCGGAAUUAUUGGGCGUAAAGAGCUCGUAGGCGGCCUGUUGCGUCCGCUGUGAAAGCCCGGGGCUUAACCUCGGGUCGGCAGUGGAUACGGGCAGGCUAGAGGUAGGUAGGGGAGAAUGGAAUUCCCGGUGUAGCGGUGAAAUGCGCAGAUAUCGGGAGGAACACCGGUGGCGAAGGCGGUUCUCUGGGCCGUACCUGACGCUGAGGAGCGAAAGCGUGGGGAGCGAACAGG